UACGAAGGGGGCUAGCGUUGCUCGGAAUCACUGGGCGUAAAGGGCGCGUAGGCGGCCUUCUAAGUCAGACGUGAAAUCCCCCGGCUUAACCUGGGAACUGCGUCUGAUACUGGGAGGCUUGAGUAUGGGAGAGGGAUGUAGAAUUCCAGGUGUAGCGGUGAAAUGCGUAGAUAUCUGGAGGAAUACCGGUGGCGAAGGCGGGUUGCUGGGCUGACACUGACGCUGAGGCGCGAAAGCCAGGGGAGCGAACGGG
rnacentral:rRNA from 1 species